UCUGUCCAGUACAAUUGUUGCUAUCAUCAGCAUCCAUUGGUUCAGUUUUUACUCUCAUCCCUGCUUCUGAAUGGGGCAAAUCAUCAGGCAAAGAAGCCAAGCAAUUCUGAAUCAUCUCAAUGACUCGCUCCAAGUGCUUUUGAAACCGUUCAGCUGUUUCAAGGCGUUGACGUUUCUGCACCUCCAUCAUGACUCUCAAUGUUUCUCUUGCUUGGUGGGGUCGGUAUUCAUUUAUGAGAUGAUGCACAUGCACAAAAAGCAGCUUAAGAUCUUCUAGCUUCUCUUCUCGUUUUAUACUCCCAGGGCUUCUUAUCAAGAUAUCUAAGAGGUCUAAGAAAUUAAUAAGAAUAGACAUAUUGAGUUUUCUCAGUUCUUUCUUGUGAUCAAACUGCAUAGGAUGAAGUCGUUCGAUGCCCUGACUUUCUAAAGGGCGAAUGAUAAGAUCGUCACAUUGGAACUGAUUGCCAAACAUCAUAUAACUGUCUUUUAUUGGAGGUGGAGGCUUGGGAGCUAGGCCUUCCUGAAUAUUUUCAUCUGUAUAUUCCUUGAUGUACUGCAUUGGAGGUGGCGGAAGGGCACUCACUUGUUGUGGCUCACCCAUUGCGGAAGAUCAAAAAUCUAUGGAAAUAAACCAAAAAUUUAGAGUAGAGCUACAAAACAAACCUGUCACAUUGUAUACUACAGAGUAUUUUCCUUUUUUUUCCUUGGCAGUUUGGGGCCCAGGACAAAAUGAUCUCCUUAGUUUCUAGAACAACAGGGUAAGACUGCCAUCUUUUUCUAAUUAGCAUUAUAUCUUCAAUCAUCC
rnacentral:lncRNA from 1 species